rnacentral:rRNA from 1 species
CUACGGGAGGCAGCAGUGGGGAAUAUUGCACAAUGGGCGCAAGCCUGAUGCAGCAACGCCGCGUGGGGGACGACGGCCUUCGGGUUGUAAACCUCUUUUAGUAGGGAAGAAGCGCAAGUGACGGUACCUACAGAAAAAGCACCGGCUAACUACGUGCCAGCAGCCGCGGUAAUACGUAGGGUGCAAGCGUUGUCCGGAAUUAUUGGGCGUAAAGAGCUCGUAGGCGGUUUGUCGCGUCUGCUGUGAAAAUCCGAGGCUCAACCUCGGACUUGCAGUGGGUACGGGCAAACUAGAGUGCGGUAGGGGAGAUUGGAAUUCCUGGUGUAGCGGUGGAAUGCGCAGAUAUCAGGAGGAACACCAAUGGCGAAGGCAGAUCUCUGGGCCGUAACUGACGCUGAGGAGCGAAAGCGUGGGGAGCGAACAGGAUUAGAUACCCGCGUAGUC